rnacentral:misc_RNA from 1 species
UACGAACCGGACAAACGUUAUUCGGAAUCAUUGGGCUUAAAGGGUGCGUAGGCGGCCGCGUAAGUCGGGUGUGAAAUCCCUCGGCUCAACCGAGGAAUUGCGCCCGAUACUGCGUGGCUAGAGGGAGACAGAGGCGAGCGGAACUGAUGGUGGAGCGGUGAAAUGCGUUGAUAUCAUCAGGAACACCGGUGGCGAAGGCGGCUCGCUGGGUCUCUUCUGACGCUCAGGCACGAAAGCUAGGGUAGCGAACAGG